CUCAUUAUUCCAAGGUGAUCAAAUGAUCCUAUUAAAUGUACAAGAACGGCACUGGAGAUAUAUUUUAGAUGCACAUACACCCAUUUCUCGACAGAACAAACUAAAAAGACAGAGAAUGAAAAGAUCUAUGAGGUAGCCAUGCAGCGUGGUUAUUCAAUUCCGUUCAUUAAGCAUAUACAUAGUAAAAUCAAACGGAUAUACAACAGGACCCAAUUUACUAUGGUAAACCCUCAGCCGGACCAUUCAGAAGAACUUGAUGAACCCAGGAUCCAAUUCCCAUAUAGAUUAACUAAAUUUGAUGUAGUGAAGAAAGCAUUAAAGAAGCUCCCAUCUAAAGUGGUGUACUUGAGAGAACCGACGAUUUACAAAAAUACAAUUAUUAGCAAACAAGAAAGAUAAAAAGAGCAAACAUGAAAGAGCAGCUGUAUAUUCUAUCCUGAUAAUAAACCAUACAAAUUCUUGUAAAGAAUCUAUAUAGAAGUAACUAGUAGAUCAAUAAAACAAUGUCUCCAGGAACGUAAAUCUGACUUACAACUUCAUAUGAAUAAGCAAAAAUGGUUCAACAUGGCAGUUGUGCUUGGUGGGCC
rnacentral:lncRNA from 1 species